CAGAUCAUUCAAAGACACUACAAACAAUAUAUUUAAACAUCUAAACAUAACAUCUAACAUGACUUUAAAGAACAAAUUUCUAGGGUUAGGUUUAUACCUCUUAUGAACAAAAUCUUGAAUCUGACUUCUUGAUCUGUUAUGGGUGAACUUGGGACUUGAUUAGGGACUAGUAUAGCAAGAAUUUUUGGGUGUUUGAAGUUGAGAGAGUUUUGG
rnacentral:lncRNA from 1 species